rnacentral:misc_RNA from 1 species
AGUAGAAACAAGGGUAUUUUUCUUUAAUUGUCGUACUCCUCUGCAUUGUCUCCGAAGAAAUAAGAUCCUUCAUUACUCAUGUCAAAGGAGGGCACGAUCGGGCUCGUUGCCUUUUCGUCCGAGAGCUCGAAGACUCCCCGCCCCUGGAAAGACACAUCUUCUGGUCUUGCACUUUCCAUCAGCCUUAUGAUUUCGGUUCUCAUGUCAGAUGUUCUCCCCUCUGUAUUCCCAGUGAAUGCUGCCAUAAUGGUUGGUCUGUCAAAAGGGAGAUUUCUCUGUACUGAGAACGUAGGUUGUAUGCUGAUUUGGCCCGAGGAAGCCCUCUGUUGAUUGGUGUUCCCUCCACUUCUGGUCCUUAUGGCCCAGUAUCUGCUUCUCAGUUCAAGGGUACUUGAUUCCAUAGUCUCCAUGUUUUCAUUGGAAGCAAUUUGAACUCCUCUAGUGGAAAGCUUCCCUCUUGGGACCACUUUCGUCCCUCUGAUGAAGCUUGAUACUCUUAGAUCUUCAAAUGCAGCAGAAUGGCAUGCCAUCCACACCAGUUGACUCUUGUGUGCUGGAUUCUCAUUUGGUCUGAUUAGGCUGUAUACUUGGCUGUUUUGAAGCAGUCUGAAAGGGUCUAUUCCGACUAGAGAGUAUCCCUCUCUUUCAAAGUCGUAUCCACUGGCUACGGCAGAUCCAUACACACAGGCAGGCAGGCAGGACUUGUGAGCAACUGACCCUCUCAAUAUGAGUGCAGACCGUGCUAAAAAGAUGAGAUCUUCGAACUCAGCAUUUCCUGGAUUCCGGCUCUCUCUCACUUGAUCCACCAUUGUUCUUUGUGCAGCUGUUUGAAAUUUCCCUUUGAGAAUGUUGCACAUUCUUUCAUAAGCAAUCCUUGUUCUCCGUCCAUUCUCACCCCUCCAGAAGUUCCGAUCAUUGAUCCCACGUUUGAUCAUUCUGAUCAAUUCCAUCACCAUUGUUCCAACUCCUUUGACUGCAGCACCUGCGGCCCCAGACCUCCUAGGGAGGGUUGAACCCUGCAUCAGUGAGCACAUCCUGGGAUCCAUUCCUGUGCGAACAAGAGCUCUUGUCCUCUGGUAAGUUGCAUCAUUCAAAUUGGAGUGCCAGAUCAUCAUGUGAGUCAGACCAGCCGUUGCAUCGUCACCAUUAUUAGCUUGGCGCCAGAUUCGUCUUAUUUCUUCUUUGUCAUAAAGGAUGAGUUCUCUCCUCCACUUUCCAUCUACUCUCCUGUAUAUAGGUCCUCCAGUUUUCUUAGGAUCUUUCCCCGCACUGGGAUGUUCUUCUAGAUAUUUAUUCCUCCUCUCGUCAAAAGCAGAGAGCACCAUUCUCUCUAUUGUUAAGCUGUUCUGAAUCAGCCGUCCCUCAUAAUCACUGAGUUUAAGUUCGGUGCACAUUUGGAUGUAGAAUCGUCCAAUUCCAUCAAUCAUUUUUCCGACAGAUGCUCUGAUUUCAGUGGCAUUCUGGCGUUCUCCAUCAGUCUCCAUCUGUUCGUAAGAUCGUUUGGUGCCUUUGGUCGCCAUGAUUUCGAUGUCACUCUGUGAGUGAUUAUCUACCCUGCUUUUGCU